GAUUUCUUCACACAGACUCACAUGAAAUUUGGUGCCAUGACUCGGAUCGGGGGACCUCCCUUGGGAGAUCAAUCCCCUGUCCUCCUGUUCUUUGCUCCGUGAAAAAGAUCCACCUACGACCUCAGGUCCUCAGACCCACCAGCCCAAGGAACAUCUCACCAAUUUUAAAUCAGGUAAGUGGCCUCUUCUUACUCUCUUCUCCAACCUCUCUCACUAUCCCUCAACCACUUUCUCCUUUCCACUCUUCAGUCUCUCCCUUCUCUUAAUUUCAAUUCCUUUCAUUUUCUGGUAGAGACAAAGGAGACACGUUUUGUCUGUGGACCCAAAACUCCGGCGCCGGUCACGGACUGGGAAGGCAGCCUUCCCUUGGUGUUUAAUCAUUGCAGGGACACCUCUCUGAUUAUUCACCCACGUUUCAGAGGUGUCAGACCACGCAAGGAUGCCUGCCUUGGUCCUUCACCCUUAGCGGCAAGUCCCGCUUUUCUAGGGGAGGGGCAAGUACCCCAACCCCUUCUCUCCAUGUCUCUACCCCUUCUCUGCCUUUCUGGGGGGCAAGAAACCCCCAAUCCCUUCUCCUUCACCCUUAGUGGCAAGUCCCGCUUUUCUGGUGGAGAGGCAAGUACCCCAACCUCAUAUCUCUGUGCCCCGAUCCCUUAUUUCUGUGCCCCGACCUCUUAUAUCUCUGCGCCCUGAUCCCUUAUUUCUGCGGCCCGACCUCUUAUAUCUCUGUGCCCUGAUCCCUUAUUUCCGCUCCCCACCCUCUUAUAUCUCUGUCUCCUGAUCCCUUAUUUCCAUGCUCCGACCUCAUAUCUCUGCGCCCUGACCCCUUUCCUGCUUUUCUGGAGGGUAAGAACCCCCGAACCCCUUCCCUCCAUGUCUCCACUCUCUCUUUUCUCUGGGCUUGCUUCCUUCACUAUGGGCAACCUUCCACCUUCCAUUCCUCCUUCUUCUCCCUUAGCCUGUGUUCUCAAAAACUUAAAACCUCUUCAACUCACACCUGACCUAAAACCUAAAUGCCUUAUUUUCUUCUGCAAUGCCACUUGACCCCAAUACAAACUCGACAGUAGUUCCAAAUAGCCAGAAAACAGCACUUUCAAUUUUUCCAUCCUGCAAGAUCUAAAUAAUUCUUGUCCUAAAAUGGGCAAACGGUCUGAGGUGCCUGAUGUCCAGGCAUUCUUUUACACAUCGGUCCCUUCCUAGUCUCUGUGCCCAGUGAAACUCAUCCCAAAUCUUCCUUCUUUCCCUCUCGCCUGUCCCCUCAGUCCCAACCCCAAGCGUCGCUGAGUCUUUCUAAUCUUCCUUUUCUACAGACCCAUCUGACCUCUCCCCUCCUCCCCAGGCUGCUCCUCGCCAGGCCGAGCUAGGUCCCAAUUCUUCCUCAGCCUCCGCUCCUCCACCCUAUAAUCUUUUUAUCACCUCCCCUCCUCAUACCCGGUCCGGUUUACAGUUUCAUUCCGUGAGUAGCCCUCCCCCACCUGCCCAGCAAUUUCCUCUUAAAAAGGUGGCUGAAGCUAAAGGCAUAGUCAAGGUUAAUGCUCCUUUUUCUUCAUCAGACCUCUCCCAAAUCCUGAGCAUUUAGGCUCUUUCAUCAAAUAUGAAAAACCCAGCCCAGUUCAUGGCUUGUUCAGCAGCAACCCUGAGACGCUUUACAGCCCUAGACCCUGAAAGGUCAAAAGGCCGUCUUAUUCUCAAUAUACAUUUUAUUACCCAAUCUGCUCCUGACAUUAAAUAAAACUCCAAAAAUUAAAUUCCGGCCCUGAAACCCCACAACAGGGCUUAAUUAACCUCACCUUCAAGGUGUACAAUAAUAGAGACAGCCAAGUAGCAACAUAUUUCUGAGUUGCAAUUCCUUGCCUCCACUGUGAGACAAACCCCAGCCACAUCUCCAGCACACAAGAACUUCCAAACACCUAAACUGCAGUGGCCAGGUGUUCCUCCAGAACCGCCUUCCCCAGGAGCUUGCUAUAAGUGCCAGAAAUCUGGACACCAGGCCAAGGAAUGCCCACAGCCCGGGAUUCCUCCUAAGCCAUGUCCCAUCUGUGCGGGACCCCACUGGAAAUUGGACUGUUCAACUCACCUGGCAGCCACUCCCAGAGCCCCUGGAACUCUGGCCCAAGGCUCUUUGACUGACUGCUUCCCAGAUCUCGGCUUAGCAGCUGAAGACUGCCACUGCCAGAUCGCCUCGAAGCCUACAAGACCAUUACAGACACUCUGGGUAACUCUCACAGUGGAAAGUAAGUCCGUCCCCUUCUUAAUCAAUACGGAGGCUACCCACCCCACAUUACCUUAUUUUCAAAGGCCUGUUUCCCUUGCUUCCAUAACUGUUGUGGGUAUUGAUGGCCAGGCUUUUAAACCUGUUAAAACUCCCCAACUCUGGUGCCAACUUAGACAAUAUUCUUUUAAGCACUCCUUUUCAGUUAUCCCCACCUGCCCAGUUCCCUUAUUAGGCCGAGAUAUUUUAACCAAAUUAUCUGCUUCCCUGACUAUUCCUGGACUACAGCCGCAUCUCACUGCUGCCCUUCUCCCCAACCCAAAGCCUCCUUCGCGUCUUCCUCUCAUAUCCCCCCACCUUAACCCACAAGUAUGGGACAUCUCUACUCCUUCCCUGGCAACAGAUCACAUGCCCAUUACCAUCCCAUUAUAACCUAAUCACCCUUACCCCGCUCAACACCAAUAUCCCAUCCCAUAGCACGCUUUAAAAGGAUUAAAGCCUGUUAUCACUCGCCUGCUACAGCAUGGGCUUCUGUUAAAACUCCCCAACUCUGGUGCCAACUUAGACAAUAUUCUUUUAAGCACUCCUUUUUAGUUAUCCCCACCUGCCCAGUUCCCUUAUUAGGCUAGACACUUUAACUAAAUUAUCUGCUUCCCUGACUAUUCCUGGACUACAGCUACAUCUCAUUGCCGCCCUUCUUCCCAAUCCAAAGCCACAUUUGUGUCCUCCUCUUGUAUCCCCCCAACUUAACCCACAAGUAU
rnacentral:lncRNA from 1 species